rnacentral:lncRNA from 1 species
CCAUGUGUCUCUUUUUUCUUCUUGUAGUGGUAUCAUUGGAUCAGAGGGUAUGACCGAUUUGGUGACUUUAGAGACAUAAUUCAAAAUUACUAGACAAGCAACUCUGAAAGACUUAAGAACGCUGAUCAACACAACAACCAACUAUGACUCUAAAGGACCAGUGAUAAAGCAUUUCCUAAGGGAGACAUGCCCAGAUCCAGCUUCUCAUUUCCUUAUUUCUUUUAAUGAUAAAAAGACAGUGUGACCUCAAAACCAGGAAGAAUUGGCUCCAAGUCCUAUCUCCAAUAAGUAAUGGUUGUACAACCUUAGUUAAAUCACAGCUUCUAUGGCAUUGCUCUGAGACCCCAAAUUGCAGGUACCCAAGAGUUGUAAACAAAGUCGCUGCCUGUCAAUCAGGGAAUGGCUAAGUGGAACAAGAAUAAGUUCUAAAAACAAUAAACAUGAAGAAUUUUGAGAACUGUGGGAAGAA